AGCAGCCGCGGUAAUUCCAGCUCCAAUAGCGUAUAUUAAAGUUGUUGCAGUUAAAAAGCUCGUAGUUGAAUUUCGGGGUUAGUAGGUUGGUCAUGCCUCUGGUAUGCACUGGCCUCACUGAUUCCUCCUUCCUGAUGAGCCGUAAUGCCAUUAAUUUGGUGUUGCGGGGAAUUUGGACUGUUACUUUGAAAAAAUUAGAGUGUUUAAAGCAAGCUAACGCUUGAAUACAUUAGCAUGGAAUAAUGAAAUAGGACGUUCGAUCCUAUUUUGUUGGUUUCUAGGAUUGACGUAAUGAUUAAUAGGGAUAGUUGGGGGCAUUAGUAUUCAAUUGUCAAAGGUGAAAUUCUUGGAUUUAUUGAAGACUAACUACUGCGAAAGCAUUUGCCAAGGAUGUUUUCAUUAAUCAAGAACGAAAGUUAGGGGAUCGAAGACGAUCAGAUACCGUCGUAGUCUUAACCAUAAACUAUGCCGACUAGGGAUCGGAUGAUGUUAAUUUUUUAAUGACUCAUUCGACGCCUUA
rnacentral:rRNA from 1 species